rnacentral:rRNA from 1 species
CCUACGGGCGGCUGCAGUGGGGAAUUUUGUGCAAUGCUCGUAAGAGUGACGCAGCGACGCCGCGUGAAUGACGAAGGCCUUCGGGUCGUAAAGCUCUUUCGACAGGGAAGAAAAUGCUUAUAAGUAACAGUGUAUGUAUUGACGGUACCUGCAGAAGAAGCACCGGCUAACUCCGUGCCAGCAGCCGCGGUAAUACGGAGGGGGCGAGCGUUGUUCGGAGUGACUGGGCGUAAAGCGCACGUAGGCGGUGUUGUAAGUCAGUUGUCAAAGCCUAGAGCUCAACCUUAGUAAGGCAAGUGAUACUAGAAGACUAGAGUAUCAGAGAGGAUGGCAGAAUGCCUGGUGUAGCGGUGAAAUGCGUAGAGAUCAGGAGGAAUACCGUUAGCGAAGGCGGCAAUCUGGCUGGAAACUGACGCUGAGGUGCGAAAGCGUGGGUAGCAAACAGGAUUAGAUACCCGGGUAGUC